rnacentral:rRNA from 1 species
GAAUGAAUAAAGAAGUUUUCAUUUUGAAAAUUGUGGUCUGUGAUCAUGAAUUGUAAUUUCAAAAUGCAUUGCUAACAAAAAUGCAAAUGGUGGUUUAUUGGAAAGAACAUGACAAAGGGUGAAAAUCCCAUGUGUCAUUUGUAUUUUUUGUGUACGGUGUGCAUUUAUUGAAUCACAUUCUUUGACAAUGGAAUGUAAAUUGGGUGGUAAAUUUCAUCUAAAGUUGAAUAUGUUGUUGAAACUUAUAGAAAACAAUUACCAUGAGGGAAAUAUGAAAAGGAUUUUGAAAAGAAAAUUAAAAGAGUUUGCAAUUGCUAAAUUGAUAAGCAAACAAAACAUAUCUGUGCGCAAGAUUGUUGUAAUCAUUUGUUGUCAAACACAUGUGUUACAAUGGUUUUUGUGUAUUUUGCCAAUAUCCAAAUUUGGAAUGAUCACCCUUGGGUAUGAUUGGAAUUUGGUUUGCUAGCCAAGGAAUGUAUCUUGAAAAAAUCAUCCUCAGUUUGAUACUUUGUUUUAUGACACAUGCAUUGCUCGCUUGAACAGCACCGUUGGAGCAAAUGCGCAAUGCUUUGUUUAAUUCACAUGGGCAUUAAUGUUUUGCUUGACCCGUCUUG